AUAAAAAUGCAUUCUUCCUAUUGACUAGGAAUUGUGGUUCCAAAAAAUACUGGAAAUCAUCAUAAAGACUUUUUGUCUUUGAUUGCUACAGAGUUUAUCAUAGCCUAAUUGAUCAUGUUUCCUUCCUCUUUGUAUACUUAGAGCUGAACUACACUGAAAUGAAUCUACCAGGAGGAGUUUAUGUCCCAUAUGAGUAACAAGUAAAUCUUCGGUAAAGGAAGGGCUAAAGGGACACCAAAGUAAAUUCUUAAGAUGGGGGCAAUCAACUGCAUAAUGACCUUCUUUGGGCUAGUCAACAUUUGUGCAGAUGACUUAGGCAUAAGGAAUGUGUUGUUUACCAAUGGACCAUAUACGACUACCAUGGUGACUAGCCCCGGAUAGGACCAAGAUAAGAAUGUUGGAUGUCAUUUUCUCCUAAAGGGAGAAGUCAACAAAUUAUACCUAAAAUUCAAGAAAAUGAUAAUAAGACCACAUGUCGAACUUUGAGUCUUACUUUCAACAUUGACACAAAGGACCUUCCCACCAUGACAGGAAUUUAAAUGGCAGAAUACCACAUCUUUUUCUUAUAGUCAUCUAUACCAUCUUCUCAAGAGAGAAAGGACUUUAAUUCCUUCAAAUCUUUCCUAGCUACCAGUAGCACCUUGGGAUGGUAGCAAAUGAAGUCACUUAAUGAGGUGGAAUGGAAGCAGUGAGGAAAAGAAUUAAUGGAACAGGAAGUUGGGAUGUGUGAGGAUAUCUGGACUAGGAGACAAAGCAUCCAUCGUUUAAACACCAGAAAAUCCAUUGCUAGCUGCCUUAUCAGCUGAACAGCUUUCCCCAAAGUCAUAUGUUGAAUUCUUCACCUCUGAUACCUCAGGACAUAAUUUUAUUUAAAAAUAGGUUCUGUAAAUAACUAACAAAAAGAAGUCUACAGGUGGGUCCUAAACCAGACUGAGGGGCAGGAAGUAUCCAGAGAGAAGAACUGAGGGGCAUGAAGUAUCCAAAGAGAAGAAGUAAGAACACAGAUAAGGUAAGAAGACAAUGGAAAGAACAUUUAGCCUGAAGAACUGUUAAGAAUGCAUUUCUGUUACUUGAGGAGUUAGUCUGUAUUACCUUAUUAUGAUAAUGGAAGAAAACUGCUAAUUACAUAGCCACAACUAUGCCAUCUGAAUUAAAUUUGAUGAGAUAUACCUUUAAAUUAUUAUAGACACCUUUUUUCCAUG
rnacentral:lncRNA from 1 species